rnacentral:rRNA from 1 species
AGUGAACGCUGGCGGUAGGCCUAACACAUGCAAGUCGAACGGCAGCACAGUAAGAGCUUGCUCUUACGGGUGGCGAGUGGCGGACGGGUGAGGAAUACAUCGGAAUCUCCUUUUUCGUGGGGGAUAACGUAGGGAAACUUACGCUAAUACCGCAUACGACCUACGGGUGAAAGCAGGGGAUCUUCGGACCUUGCGCGAUUGAAUGAGCCGAUGUCGGAUUAGCUAGUUGGCGGGGUAAAGGCCCACCAAGGCGACGAUCCGUAGCUGGUCUGAGAGGAUGAUCAGCCACACUGGAACUUAGACACGGUCCAGACUCCUACGGGAGGCAGCAGUGGGGAAUAUUGGACAAUGGGCGCAAGCCUGAUCCAGCCAUACCGCGUGGGUGAAGAAGGCCUUCGGGUUGUAAAGCCCUUUUGUUGGGAAAGAAAAGCAGCAGGUUAAUACCCCGCUGUUCUGACGGUACCCAAAGAAUAAGCACCGGCUAACUUCGUG